GGUCGCAUAGCUCAGGGGCUAGAGCGGUUGCUUUACACGCAAUAGGUCGCAGGUUCGAUCCCUGCUGCGAUCA
rnacentral:tRNA from 1 species